AAUCAACGCUGGCGGCGUGCCUCAGACAUGCAAGUCGAACGCGAAAGUCCCCUUCGGGGGACCGGUAGAGUGGCGCACGGGUGAGUAACACGUGGGUAAUUUGCCUUCGGGUGGGGAAUAACAGCCGGAAACGGCUGCUAAUACCGCAUAAUGCAGCGGCACCUCAUGGUGACAGUUGUUAAAGCGGGGGAUCGCAAGACCUCGCGCCUGAAGAGAAGCCCGCGGCGGAUUAGCUAGUUGGUGAGGUAACGGCUCACCAAGGCGACGAUCCGUAGCC
rnacentral:rRNA from 1 species